UAUACAAAUCAAAUAAAAUUUUAAAAAAUCCUUUAUUGUCUCUCCCGUAGCGGGCAUUACAACUGACAAUGCCACAAGUAGUCGGCAAUAUGUUGGUUCAGGACGAAUGAAAUCUAACAAAAAGAUUCGACAAGUAGGCCUAGCUAUUAUUAGGUGUUGAUGCCUUCCAACAUGGCCGACCGCUAUGGAUCGUGGGUAAUCUAGAAUGACGCGUAACCCUCUAU